GACGAACGCUGGCGGCGUGCCUAACACAUGCAAGUCGAACGGAGUAUAUUGGGAGCUUGCUCUCAAUAUACUUAGUGGCGGACGGGUGAGUAACACGUGAGUAACCUGCCGAGAAGAGUGGGAUAACACAGCGAAAGCUGUGCUAAUACCGCAUAUUGUGCCGAAACCGCAUGGUUUUGGCAUGAAAGAUUUAUCGCUUCUUGAUGGACUCGCGUCUGAUUAGAUAGUUGGUGAGGUAAUGGCUCACCAAGUCUACGAUCAGUAGCCGGACUGAGAGGUUGAACGGCCACAUUGGGACUGAGACACGGCCCAGACUCCUACGGGAGGCAG
rnacentral:rRNA from 1 species